CUUGACCAGAACCUGAUGAUAGGUACGAAGCUCUAGUACUACAAGGGGAUUCCUAAUCUCCGGACGGAGAUUCCACUGAAAUCUUUAGGUCAUCUUCCCUUCAUAAGAUGUAAUCUCAGGAGAAUAGUGGCUAAGUUCUAUGAAUCUUCUAGCAUAAUCAGUGAUUGAGAGGCUUCCUUGGGUAAGCUGAGCGAACUCUAUCUCAUUUCGAUGACGAAUGUUGUCGGAGAAGUAUUCGAUAUUUAACGCCUCCAAGAAGUCCUCCCAUGUGAUGGGCGUGGGUAGAGUAGUCUACUUUAACUUCCCACCAGUGCUCUACUUCUCCCUCAAGAAUAAAGAUGACAAGGAUAACCUUCUGUUCAUCAGUCACCCCCUGAACCCUAAAAGACAUUUAAGUUGUUUUUAGCCAAUUCUCAGCCUCCUAGAAAGUCGAUGCUCCUGUAAAAGGGACUGGAUUCAGUCGUUUGUAUCUCUCAACAUA
rnacentral:lncRNA from 1 species